CGGACUCCCACGGGAGCCGGACUCCACCCGCCACCCCAACCGCAAGGAGGACUCCGCCCGGACCCCUACGUGGGAGCAGACUCCGACCACUGCCGAACUUCAGCCGACAGACCUGCACUCCCAGGCCACAAUCACGGCCACGAUUCUGCUACACUUCCUGCGGCGGAUUCUGCGCAGCUCCACCACUCCCUGACAGGCCGCAGUAACAAUCGCAGCACUGCUCCACUCCCUA
rnacentral:lncRNA from 1 species